rnacentral:rRNA from 1 species
CAGCUCAACUGUGGAACUGCCUUUGAUACUGGUUGUCUUGAGUUACAGUGAAGUAGAUAGAAUAUGUAGUGUAGCGGUGAAAUGCAUAGAUAUUACAUAGAAUACCGAUUGCGAAGGCAGUCUACUAACUGUUAACUGACGCUAAGGGACGAAAGCGUGGGGAGCGAACAGGAUUAGAUACCCUGGUAGUCCACGCCGUAAACGAUGGUCACUAGUUGUKGGGGCAAUUUGCUUCAGUGAUUAAGCGAAAGUGAUAAGUGACCCACCUGGGGAGUACGAUCGCGAGAUUGAAACUCAAAUGAAUUGACGGA